AACGUACGCUGGCGGCAUGCCUAACACAUGCAAGUCGAACGAGACCUUCGGGUCUAGUGGCGCACGGGUGCGUAACGCGUGGGAACCUGCCCUUAGGUUCGGAAUAACUCCCCGAAAGGGGUGCUAAUACCGGAUAAUGUCUUCGGACCAAAGAUUUAUCGCCCUUGGAUGGGCCCGCGUUGGAUUAGCUAGUUGGUAGGGUAAAAGCCUACCAAGGCGACGAUCCAUAGCUGGUUUGAGAGGAUGAGCAGCCACACUGGGACUGAGACACGGCCCAGACUCCUACGGGAGGCAGCAGUGGGGAAUAUUGGACAAUGGGCGAAAGCCUGAUCCAGCAAUGCCGCGUGAGUGAUGAAGGCCUUAGGGUUGUAAAGCUCUUUUACCCGGGAUGAUAAUGACAGUACCGGGAGAAUAAGCUCCGGCUAACUCCGUG
rnacentral:rRNA from 1 species